GGUCAGUGGCAGAACUACUGCUGGUGCAGCUGCACCGGGGAGUGCACACUAAGGGUGCCCAUUGGAUGGCCAAUGAGGUCUCGUGGUCCCGGUCAGCGCUGUGGUCCAUUAAUAGCAUGACCGGGCCCCUAUAUUAUCGGAGGCAUGGGAGGAAGUGACAGCCGGUCCAUUUCUCCCAGCUAACACCGAGCCGCAAGGGAAGCUUGCCCAGAGGAGGGGAGCACAGUA